rnacentral:lncRNA from 1 species
GCAGUAAAAAAUUGUUAACUAUUGCCUGAAAGCUGUAAGAUGUUAAGUUUGUGUUACUCAGCAGGUGACUUAUGAAAGAUUUUCUCUUGAGAAAACAUUUCCUACCCACUUGCAUAAAGUCUUAGCAAUAGAAUCAGUUACAACAACAGACUUGAUGAUUAUUUCACAGGGUUCUCUCUAUUCCUUGCAAUGAUGACAGAGGCUACACCAUUACAUCAAACAACUUUAUCUGGUAAAGGAGAAGCUGCAAGGGCUGAACAAAUUAAAACAGGAUUGUGGAAGCAAAAAAAAGUAGGACAAUGGAGGAGAAUGUUGGGACAAAAAGUUAAAAGAUACGGAAAAUGUCUCAAAAAGAAACCGCAAGGUCUCCAUUGCAUGCAUUUCUUUUGCAUUGUCUUUUAUUAUGCCCUCCACAAUUGAACUGCUAGCCCAACAGCUCCAUUUCAAUGAUCCAAAUUGUGUAAUAGUCCAGAGAAGAUGUCACCUGAACAUAUCGAGCAUCAACGCGUGUCGCUGGAACCCCGUGCAUGGUUUGGCCGCGGGGUUCAGCAGACCCGUGUAACACCAUGUUCAUGUCAAAAUAUGAAACAAAAUGCCAGUCCUGGAAGGUUACCUGAAUUGGAACUUGUAUAAG